UACGUAGGGGGCAAGCGUUGUCCGGAUUUAUUGGGCGUAAAGCGCGCGCAGGCGGCUCGUCAAGUCUGGCGUGAAAGCCCCCGGCUCAACCGGGGAGGGUCGUCGGAGACUGGCGGGCUUGAGGGCGGUAGGGGCUGGUGGAAUUCCCGGUGUAGUGGUGAAAUGCGUAGAGAUCGGGAGGAACACCCGUGGCGAAGGCGGCCAGCUGGGCCGACCCUGACGCUGAGGCGCGAAGGCGUGGGGAGCGAACGGG
rnacentral:rRNA from 1 species